GUAGGUGGCAAGCGUUGUCCGGAAUUAUUGGGCGUAAUGCGCGCGCAGGCGGUUCUUUAAGUCUGAUGUGAAAGCCCACGGCUCAACCGUGGAGGGUCAUUGGAAACUGGAGAACUUGAGUACAGAAGAGGAAAGCGGAAUUCCACGUGUAGCGGUGAAAUGCGUAGAGAUGUGGAGGAACACCAGUGGCGAAGGCGGCUUUCUGGUCUGUAACUGACGCUGAGGCGCGAAAGCGUGGGGGAGCAAACAGGAUUAGAUACCCUGGUAGUCCACGCCGUAAACGAUGAGUGCUAAGUGUUAGGGGGUUUCCGCCCUUAGUGCUGCAGCUAACGCAUUAAGCACUCCGCCUGGGAGUACGGCCGCAAGGCUG
rnacentral:rRNA from 1 species